UACGGGGGGGGGCAAGCGUUGUUCGGAAUUACUGGGCGUAAAGGGCUCGUAGGCGGCCAACUCAGUCGGACGUGAAAUCCCUCGGCUUAACCGGGGAACUGCGUCCGAUACUGGAUGGCUCGAGUGUGGGAGAGGGAUGCGGAAUUCCAGGUGUAGCGGUGAAAUGCGCAGAUAUCAGGAGGAACACCGGUGGCGAAGGCGGGUCUCUGGGCCGAUACUGACGCUGAGGAGCGAAAGCGUGGGGAGCGAACAGG
rnacentral:rRNA from 1 species